AAAUCCGGCCGGAUUUGAAAUCCGGUGCACCCCUACAUGUUUUACACAAUGUUUGUACCAGGUGCUGUCAUGCUACAGAAGAUUGAACAGAACUUGUCAAGAGGUGUUCAAAAAUGAUGUCGUGAUGCUUGAAGCGGCCAGGAGAAAGAUGAAGGAAGAUUUCAGACGGAAUAAAACAGAGAAUAAUCCGGACAAGAUCGAGGAACUACUGAAAACAGCUGUGGAAUCAGAAGAGGUGUUACGGCGUCUUAUUGUGCAGGGUGUCCGUAAAUCUGAUGGCACGUAUAAACUAAACUUUAGAGAUGAUACAGUGCUUGAGGAUAACGCACCCUUACCAAAGCGAUGAUGUAUUGAAUCAUUUUUAACCCAUUAUAGGUGUAAAAAUAUUCUGUUUCUGGUCAGCGCGCGUGCGUCAUUUUUAACCCAUUAAAGCACAGAGGAGAGACAUACAGAGUUGUAACUAGUGUACCCACUUUUUUCGUGGGCAUGCUCGGCAAGUUACUGCAUCUGAUUGGAUGACGACCUGAUGACGACUCACUUUAAACUUGCUGAGCACGCGCAGUUGAUCAUUUUUUGCCCGGUCGCCUGAAAAACGUGGGUACAUGAAAACGUAAGCUUCCGCAGUGUUUACGACGGUCAGUUACCGCUCUGUAUGUCUCUACUCUGUGAUUAAAGCUACGUUUACACGCUACGAUUUGUCGUGUACGAUUCGUAUUCUGGCGUAUUAAAAUGAGCACGUGCUGGCGCCAUAAUUCAUUGCCGUUUCGUUAAAAAGAAAUUUCAAAUGUAGCCAGCUUACGCGUGUUUACUCAAUGACAUACGCCAGAAAACGAAUCGUACACGAUUAAUCGCAGCGUGUAAACACAGAAUAGGAAGUUAUACCAGAAGCGUAACUCGAGCAAAUAUUUGUCCGCGUUUUUACAAGCGAUUCGUCAUCAAUCACGCCAUCCUGGCUAGUACAACCGGCACUUUGUACCUACCAAAUCCUGAUAAAAACUUCCGGCUGUACUAGCCAGGAUGGCGUGGCCUGACGUGAGCGAGU